CCUACGGGAGGCAGCAGUGAGGAAUAUUGGUCAAUGGGCGCGAGCCUGAACCAGCCAAGUAGCGUGAAGGAUGACUGCCCUACGGGUUGUAAACUUCUUUUAUAAAGGAAUAAAGUGAGGCACGUGUGCCUUUUUGCAUGUACCUUAUGAAUAAGGAUCGGCUAACUCCGUGCCAGCAGCCGCGGUAAUACGGAGGAUUCGAGCGUUAUCCGGAUUUAUUGGGUUUAAAGGGAGCGUAGUUGGGUUGUUAAGUCAGUUGUGAAAGUUUGCGGCUCAACCGUAAAAUUGCAAUUGAUACUGGCAGUCUUGAGUACAGGUGAGGUAGGCGGAAUUCGUGGUGUAGCGGUGAAAUGCUUAGAUAUCACGAAGAACUCCGAUUGCGAAGGCAGCUUACUAACCUGCCACUGACAUUGAGGCUCGAAAGUGUGGGUAUCAAACAGGAUUAGAUACCCGGGUAGUC
rnacentral:rRNA from 1 species